rnacentral:rRNA from 1 species
UCGUCAGCUCGUGUCGUGAGAUGUUGGGUUAAGUCCCGCAACGAGCGCAACCCCUAUUGUUAGUUGCUACCAUUAAGUUGAGCACUCUAGCGAGACUGCCUGGGUUAACCAGGAGGAAGGUGGGGAUGACGUCAAAUCAUCAUGCCCCUUAUGUGUAGGGCUACACACGUGCUACAAUGGCAAGUACAGAGAGACGCAAAACCGUGAGGUCGAGCAAAUCCCUUAAAACUUGUCCCAGUUCGGAUUGUAGGCUGAAACUCGCCUACAUGAAGCCGGAGUUGCUAGUAAUCGCGAAUCAGAAUGUCGCGGUGAAUACGUUCCCGGGUCUUGUACACACCGCCCGUCACACCAUGAGAGUUGGCAAUACCCAACGUCCGUGAGCUAACCGCAAGGAGGCAGCGGCCUAAGGUAGGGUACAGCGAUUGGGGUGAAGUCGUAACAAGGUAGCCGUA